rnacentral:rRNA from 1 species
CCUACGGGAGGCAGCAGUGGGGAAUAUUGGACAAUGGGCGCAAGCCUGAUCCAGCCAUGCCGCGUGUGUGAAGAAGGCCUUUUGGUUGUAAAGCACUUUAAGCGAGGAGGAGGCUACUUGGAUUAAUACUCUARGAUAGUGGACGUUACUCGCAGAAUAAGCACCGGCUA